GACGUGGGGGUUGGGGGAGCUCCCCACCCUCUGGGCCUCUGGCCUUCUUCACUGUAACAGGAGGGGGCACGAAAGGUCUCUAAACUCUAAUGCAUGGGGGGGGGGCAUCGGAACCCCCACCAGCGUCAAGAAGGAAGAAGCCCAUCAUGUGCUGAGCCACCUCUAAGAUCCAGGCAGUGAAGAAAGCAGGGUGCACGGCAGCAGUCGGGGGAAUGCUGCUGUUUGUGUCGUUUGGAAAAACAUCUCAGAAGAAAAUAUGGAUUCUUCACCAUCAGCGCCAUCUGGGGAGCUGUAGGAAGAAGUACUUGCAAUAGAGGUCUCUUAAGUCACCACUGAAAUCUGUCUUCAGCGUGACUGUCCUCUGUGGAUGGAAGCAUGAGAGGACAGAAUACAGUUGUCACCAAAUGAAACUUCCCAGGUGGAAAGAAGUGAUGCUAUCAGAAAGACAGCCCUGAUAAUCACCCUGAUUUACGUGAAAGAUCAAUCAUCUGUUAACUUUCAUUCUACUAACCUUUAUGUUAGUUACUAAUGGAUUUCUGAUGGUUUUGCCUCCAGCAUUCUUUACUUUCUCCUUUAGUAAAACAUCUUUGGAUUCC